AGAGUGAAAUACAGUCACUUGCUGCGUCCUGUGUAAACAAUCAAUUUGGUGUGGAGAGUUAAUGGGACGAAGCUCGCCUUUAUCUCAUUAUUUACCGAAUUUCCACAAUGUCUUAAUAAGCCAGUGUGUCAUCGCCCAUUCAGGUUGGAAAAAAAAAGCCAGUUGGACAAAAUGAGGAUGACACACAAGGUAACAGUCAUCUGACAAAUAAAACUUAACCAAAGUAAAGUAUUUGUACUUCAAUUCUGUCCACCACUGCCCAAGUUUAUAAAAGUAAGUUGGAAAAUGUCUUAAAACAUUAUACUGUAUAAUAUGUUAUUUGUAUAUUAUAUUGCUGUCUCAAGCUUUAAAUUUAAAAAUCAGCAUGUUUUCUUGUGGGUUCCCAUAUUAACACAAGACUGUGUAGUGUCAGCUGACAGAUGGUGACAAAGUUAAAGAACGUUUUGCAUAAUUUGCUGUAUUUCUGUUCUCAAAUCCUCCCUGCACUCUUUGGAGGGGGCAGCAUGUUUCUAGAGCAAAGUUGACCCACAGCAGAGGAGUUUAUGAAACAUUUGUCUAAGCAUUUGAUAAUAGUUGAUCUACAAAGCCAAGGAUGUGUGUACAUUCACCAAGGUUAGUGCCAAAGUCCCCUGCCUUGCAAAACAUUUAUGACCGCCACUCAUUCCACCAUUUUUUUAACGUUCCACAAUUACGUUGUUAAAAGUUAGUGUGGCAAUCAUAGUUUGUAGUUUUUUUCCGACAGCAAUUGUGGCCCCAAUUAAAGGGUACAAGAGGCGAUCCACAACUGAAUGGACAAAAACAAGUGUGGAACCUUUCAUUUAAUGUUUUGAUAGAAAAGUUUUAUGAAAAACAUUUGAUGAAAAAUAAUUUGCACAGGCAUCAAAACAUCGCUAGGGAGUUCACAGUUCUUUGGAAAAAGAGGAAAAGUAUGAUGAUGACCACAUACCAAGCGAUGACACAAUUAUUUUUGAAAAUGCUUUUAUUUAUCUAUUUCUUACUAUAAAUAUAACAAGGAAGAAAAAAUGUAUUUUUAAUACAACCCCUCAGAUAGAAGUCAGUCUUCAUAGGUCUACAAAGGUAAAGCACAUGUUGGCAAUAAGGCACAAACUAAGAGUUUGUAUGGUGACAGACGCUAUGGUUAAACUAGGCUUCUUUGUAAUGCAGCUCCACACCAAUGAGCGGUGUUGUCGUGUGGGUGAAAUGCAAGCAAAUGAAAAGAAA